UUUUAUGAACAAACCUGCCUCGUUUCUAUCGCUUCUCUCUCUCGCUUAUCCUAAAUUUAUCUUCCUCUCUUUUCUUUUGUUACAGACGGCAAACACUAACUCUCUCCAUCUUCAUCUCCCCCUCUUCAACAAUAAUGGUGAAACAGAAGAAUCAUCAAAAGAAAUUUAACCAUUUUCUUCAUCUACUUUAUCUCCUCCAUAAAACCACAAGAUAACUGAAAUAGUUUCACCUCCAAAAUGAAAAAUCACAUCUUCUGAGCUAUGUUCAUCAUCGUUAGAUAACCUCUUUACUUCAUCUCCUCAUGGUCUCUCAUCUCUUUAGAAGCCCAAACUUUUUACCAAUUGGAAAACCCCAAUAAUCGUUCAAUUUCAGAUCUAUUCAAGGUCGUCAAUUGAUUAAUUACACAAAAGGAACACCCUAACUGGUGUUGGAUAUCAUUUUUUUUUGGGUAAUUCUCAGAAUUACAUCUACCAACAACUAAUUGCAGACAUAUCGGUGUGGACAUGGCUAUGGAGAAAAUGGGACAAGAAUAGUUGCUCGAGAAAUUGUGUGCUGAGCAUAUCUAGGGGUUUGGAAUGGGAUGCUGGUUUCUAUAUUGGACAGGGGAGGAGCCCCAGCUUAUUGUCUGUGGAAGAUAUAUUGGAGAGGAGUGGUAUGACUUAGUUUAUAUGUCCUUCACAUUCAGUUCUGGUAAAGGGAAAGGGACAUUGUGGAGGAUUUGGUGUUGGUGGGUAGGUUUUGAGGGAGGAAGAUCAUGUUAUAAGAGUGUUUUUUUUGUGUGUCUAUGGUGGGAGGUUUUGCUGUUGUGGUGGACUAGGAGAGGCAGAUGGUGGUGAUGGGCAUGAAUAGAUAUUGUAGAUUCUUGUACAUCAACGCCUGUUUUAUGAUAGGAUAUUCUGAAGGUAUCUUGUUCUGUGUGUUCCCCAUUGUGCCAUGUUAAAGUUCUAACAUCACUAAUAUGUAUAGUGUUUGGCCAACCUUCUAUUAUUUAUGAAGAUAUGGUGUUCACAAGCCUAAGGCGCCCAUGGAUACUGAGAAUGGGGAGAAUGUCGAAGAUCAUGAGUCAUUGCUGCCCUGGUUUACCACUACAAUUUUUAUGCUCGUGAGGUGCUCGAUAGAAAUCAUGAAAGAAGGAAAAAUGGGUAAAAAGGCAUAUUUGACCCUCGUCUUAGAAAAAUGGUUGUUGAUGUCAUGUUGUUCAAUGUUCAAGUGUAGUUGCCUCUUAAAAGGUUUGAUAUACAUUUUGUCGUCGGCAGAACUUUCCUUCUCAGUUGAGCUAGUUAGUUAGCUAAUGAAGGCAUAAAUGGUGAAGUUUUGCGGGUAAAAUUUUGAACUAUAUAAAUUGCGAGUAGAAAUCUGAGAGUAUGAAAACAUUUUUGAUAUAGUAUGACUGUAUGAGAGACCCACUUAUUAUUAUAAGAUUUAAUUAUCCUUAUCAUGCUUAUUGGCUAUAUUAUGUGCAUCUCUGAAUUCACUUCUGUCUCAUACUUGCAGAUUAGCGAGAAGACUACGCUAUUCAUACUAUUAAUGUCAUGCUACAAUUGCUAAUCAUAAUUUUGUUUGUGAAUUUGGUUGUAGUGAGAUUGCUGAAAUGAUGAUUAAAAGAAUGGUUGUUGUUUUUAUGCCCAAUGGUCUAGGCAAUAUACUAGGAAGAUACGCAUGAUCCUGGAAGCUACCCUAAGGUCGGAGAUGAAGAAGGGAUGGGAAGAUAACACCACUAAUAAUUUUAUUACUAAGUUGGGGUUACGGUUCAUUUUAAUAAUUUUAUUCAUUAAGUUAAGCGUUAACCAAUAUGAGAAUGGCUCUCUUGCUCAUCACACUCUCAAUCAUGCUGACUUCUGAAAGCUUGGUUAUUAUUAUCUGGAAAGGGUUGAUGCUUGCUGAGAUAAUGAACUAUUUUGCAGUUCAUACAUUAGUUGCAGCGGAUGAGAUAUUCACACUAUUUUGCAGUCAUUACUAUAGCUUAUUUACAUUAUUAGUUAUUUCAUUGUUAGUCACUGCAAGUCAUUGUGUAAUCUUUAUUAGUUUGCAUCUAGUUGUCUCUUUGUUAAUCUUCGCUGGAUAUUUAUGACUUGUUUUGUGCUCUCAGGGAUCUGAAAAUGCAAUAGCAAGCUAAUUGACCUAUUAGUUUCUAACAUGAAACCAAGUGCAGUAGCUUCCUAUUUCAAGCGUUGCAGAUUCUUUUUCUUCAAAGGCACCACCUGACAAGAACUGGAACUAUGGAGAAGCAUUAUGGUUACGUGAACUAGAGAUUCAGUUGAACCAAAUCUUCUUUUUUUUUUUGGUAUUAUAAAUUAAUGAGACGUCUGCUUCCACCAGCUCCUUAAAGGCUGUUCGAAGUAGUCGUAAUUUGAAAAAUCAAAGAAUCUCAAAAGCAGUCGUUUUGAGAAAUAAGACUACAAUCUUAGGCUCCCCGAAACAGUCUUUUUUGGAGGUUUUAA